CAAUGAUUAAACUUUCUCUAACCAACAGGUAGCAGUGGGCCAAGGAAGUUUUGUGUUAAGAAAUAUGGAGCUGAAAAUGACUUACCCAGAGCCCACACUUGUUUCAAUCGGAUAGACCUCCCGCCCUACCCUAGUUACCACCGACUGAAAGAGAAUCUAAAACUAGCAGUAGAGAACACUGAGGGAUUUGAAGGAGUAGAUUAACAUUAUCGUUAUUAUUAUUAUUAUUAUUAUUAUUAUUAUUAUCGUUAUUAUUAUUAUUAUUAUUAUUAUCAACCAAAAUACACCAAGUAGGACAACAGUAGUACAAUAUUUUUGUUAUUUCCGUAUUAUCAUUAUUUUGUAGUAACUUUCUUUAUCUCAUUGUUCUAAUCUUCAUUGUGCUACCACUCACUGUAUAAUGUAUUGUGAUUGUGUCUGUACUGUAUUGUGAUUGUUUGAUGUGUUGUGUGUGUGUAUGUGCAGCUGUUUUAGUUCCUGUGAUUGUCUUUUUUAAUUUUAUCAAA